rnacentral:misc_RNA from 1 species
UCUCGUGGUGAAGGGAAGGAGUUCAGUGAAGUAACGCAUAUUUUACCUCCAAAAACCACCACGAAAACAAACCCCAAGACGAAGAGCUUUGCAUUAGGUGGAUUUGUCGACCACCAGUCGAACGUAGGAAGAGCCGCCAUGACCUUCCACCCAUACAAAACAAACAUAUAAACACGUGCUUGUACAGGGCGUUGUGGUGCUCGCAUUCUUCCAAACGAUACAGUAAAGCAACACGGUUCUACAGCAACUGUUCCGAGAUGGGUCUUCUAUCACUCGGCUCGCCUCUUUCUUGGGAAGAGACUAAAAAGUAUGCAGAUCAUGUGCGAAAACAUGGUAUCGAACAAUUCCUGCACAUUUACAAUCGUCUGAAAACACGACAAAAUGAUAUGCUCAAGUGGGGUGACGAGGUUGAAUACACCUUGAUCAAGUUUGAUCAUGAGAACAAGAAAGCAUAUUUGAAUCUGAAAGCAGAAGAAUUUCUGGAAAUUUUACAAGUGGAAGAAAAUACAAAUCCUGGAAAUAAUCCAACAUCAUGGAAACCAGAGUAUGCAGGAUACAUGUUAGAAGGUACACCAGGAAAACCACUUGGAGGCUGCAUGCGUCAUUUCAACACUAUUGAGGCAAACAUGAAACUAAGGAGAGAGGAGGUCAACAGCUUAUUAGAGCCUGAUGAAGCUGUCUUGUCCAUUGUUUCCUUUCCAAGGCUGGGAAGUCCAAAGUUUACUUUUCCUGAGCAUCCUGUUACUCCUGGUGAAGGUGUCACCAGCUCCCUGUUCUAUCCUGACCAGGCCAUCUUUCAAGGUCAUCCUAGAUUUGCGACCUUGUCAAGAAACAUCAGGGAGAGACGUGGAUCUAAAGUUGCAAUUAAUGUUCCAAUUUUCAAAGAUGUAAACACCCCAUCCCCAUUUAUCGAGGAGUCUCCUGAGGUGAAGGGUGAAGGUGCAAGUGCUUCUAAACCAGACCAUAUCUACCUGGAUGCCAUGGGAUUUGGAAUGGGAUGCUCAUGUCUACAGAUGACAUUCCAGGCAUGCAGUAUCGAUGAAGGUCGCCACUUGUAUGAUCAGUUGGCUGUAGUCACACCUAUUGUAAUGGCCCUCUCAGCUGCAACACCAAUAUUCCGUGGUUACCUUGGAGAUAUUGACUGCAGAUGGAGUGUGAUUGCAGGCUCAGUUGAUGAUCGAAGGCCAGAAGAACUAGGACUAGAACCAUUGAAGGAGAGCAGGUUUGUGAUUCCCAAGUCACGUUAUGAUUCCAUCAGCUGCUAUCUGUCACCAGAAGGAGCCAAGUACAAUGACAUUGAGCUAGUCAUGGAUGAGGACAUCUAUGACCAGCUGACAAAAAAUGGUAUUGAUGAACUAUUGGCCCGUCAUUAUGCACAUCUGUUUAUACGUGACCCUAUGACGUUGUUCAAGGAGCACAUCGAUGAAGACGAUACACAAAGCUCCAACCAUUUUGAGAACAUCCAGUCAACCAACUGGCAGACAAUGCGAUUCAAACCACCACCUCCCAACUCACCUAUCGGAUGGAGGGUAGAGUUUAGACCAACUGAGGUCCAGUUAACAGACUUUGAGAAUGCGGCGUUCGUUGCGUUUGUGGUGCUUCUGUCCAGAGUCAUCUUGUCAUUUGACUUAAACUUACUUAUUCCAAUAUCCAAGGUGGAUGAGAACAUGCAGACUGCACAAAAACGAGAUGCCGUUCGUCAAGGGAAAUUCUACUUCAGAAAAACCUUGAAGAAUUGUAAGCCCCAGUGUGCUGGCUCUGCCUGUUGCGAGCAACCAAGCAACACUUGUGAUGACAUAACACUGAUGAGUGUGGAUACCAUCAUCAAUGGCAAGGAAGGAGAGUUUCCAGGUCUGAUCCCAUUGAUGAACAGUUACCUUAGCAACGUCGAUGUGGACAUUGACACUAGGUGUACGAUUUCGCAGUAUUUGAAGUUGAUCCAGAAACGUGCUUCAGCAUCUCAUAGUGAUUGGCCAGAAGGAUAUUAUGGCUUACCAAUGGCAAAUACUGGUUGUCCUAGUGGGGCAUCAUUUGAUUGGAAGAGUGGAUGGAUAUACCAAGACACUGAAGACAAUAAUCCAAGGAAUGACAAGUCAGUCAGUUUUCAUAUCGAGGGACAGGUACAACCUAGCAGCAUCAAUAGGUCAUUCUGUAUAAAGACGCAGAUCACUAACGAUCAACGAAGGCCUGUUUGGCCAGCAGGCACAUACUGCAUUUACCAAAGAACGAAUUAUUGUCCUUUGGGCUUCAAUUCUGGCUUCAUCAAAUGGGACGAUGAAAAUUCCAGCAACGGAAAUAAAGCGAAAGGAACUUUGCCUAAAGUCGACUCGAGAAAUUCCGAUACAAAGAUAUACUUUUGCUGUAGAAAUGACGGAUACAAGUCAAAUCCGAUAGAUCUCCCAACGAAUUCGCCGUUUUAUCUAUUUGCGCAUCAACAGAUGUCUUGUCAGCAAGUAAGAUGGGCAGUGGCAACAUCUGAAUGGAUUGACUAUAACACAGAAGAUGAUUCUAACCGUGAUCAUGUCAAAAAUCCAGCUCCAUAUGUCCAAACAACUCGCGGACAAAAAAUAUACUACUGCUACUAUACAAGUUGUCAGUACACACUUAAUGCAAGUAAUGGGAUGAUCAAUUUCCCUCGUCACCCGGGAAACUAUGCAAAUGGUCAACUUUGCUCGUGGAGAAUUACCGUCAAAGCUUUUCAAACUAUCGAGGUUCAUUUUGCACAUUUUCGUCUCAGUGACGUUAAUGAUCAGCUGAUAUUUUAUGAUGGAAAAGAGGAAUCUGAUCCUCUUCUUGCUACUUUACAUGGUAAAAAUACAGAAAGUGAAAUAACUUCACAAGUCUGGCGGUCCAAAACGGCGGAUCUGUUUGUCGUUUUUCGUUCCAAUCGCGUUAACACUGCCUCUGGAUUCCAAGCCUCAUACAACGCAAUUGCACAAUGCUUUCUUGAUAAAUACUUACUUCAAGAAUGAAUUGCAUGUACGUACAGGCAUCUAAAUGACCGAGUUGUAAACAGCAAUUCCCAAAUACCGGCACUCCAGCAGCAACAACAGCUGAAGUAACAACAGCUGAAGUAACAA